ensembl:snoRNA LOC120098367 small nucleolar RNA SNORA33
AAGCCAGCCAUCUAGUCUGCUUAGCUCUGUGUUUCUGCAGAAAUGUAGAAAAGGCUGGCAAUAGUAAUGCCAUGUUACGAGCCUUAAGGACAGCUGAAGUUUUUAAGGUCCCUGAAAAUGGCUACAGUG